rnacentral:rRNA from 1 species
GACGAACGCUGGCGGCGUGCUUAACACAUGCAAGUCGAGCGGUAAGGCCCUUUCGGGGGUACACGAGCGGCGAACGGGUGAGUAACACGUGGGCGACCUGCCUCUAGCUCUGGGAUAAGCCUGGGAAGCUGGGUCUAAUACCGGAUAUGACCUCGCGGUGCAUGUUGCGGGGUGGAAAGCCUUGUGCGGCUAGGGAUGGGCCCGCGGCCUAUCAGCUUGUUGGUGGGGUGAUGGCCUACCAAGGCGACGACGGGUAGCCGGCCUGAGAGGGCGACCGGCCACACUGGGACUGAGACACGGCCCAGACUCCUACGGGAGGCAGCAGUGGGGAAUCUUGCGCAAUGGGCGAAAGCCUGACGCAGCGACGCCGCGUGAGGGAUGACGGCCU